rnacentral:rRNA from 1 species
GGUGACUGCGUACCUUUUGUAUAAUGGGUCAGCGACUUAUAUUCUGUAGCAAGGUUAACCGUAUAGGGGAGCCGUAGGGAAACCGAGUCUUAACUGGGCGAAUGAGUUGCAGGGUAUAGACCCGAAACCCGGUGAUCUAUCCAUGGGCAGGUUGAAGGUUGGGUAACACUAACUGGAGGACCGAACCGACUAAUGUUGAAAAAUUAGCGGAUGACUUGUGGAUGGGGGUGAAAGGCCAAUCAAACCGGGAGAUAGCUGGUUCUCCCCGAAAGCUAUUUAGGUAGCGCCUCGUGAACUCAUCUUCGGGGGUAGAGCACUGUUUCGACUAGGGGGUCAUCCCGACUUACCAACUCGAUGCAAACUGCGAAUACCGAAGAAUGUUAUCACGGGAGACACACGGCGGGUGCUAACGUCCGUCGUGAAGAGGGAAACAACCCAGACCGCCAGCUAAGGUCCCAAAGUCAUGGUUAAGUGGGAAACGAAGUGGGAAGGCUCAGACAGCCAGGAUGUUGGCUUAGAAGCAGCCAUCAUUUAAAGAAAGCGUAAUAGCUCACUGGUCGAGUCGGCCCGCGCGGAAGAUGUAACGGGGCUAAACCAUGCACCGAAGCUGCGGCAGCGACACAUAGUGUUGUUGGGUAGGGGAGCGUUCUGUAAGCCUGCGAAGGUGUACUGUGAGGUAUGCUGGAGGUAUCAGAAGUGCGAAUGCUGACAUAAGUAACGAUAAUGCGGGUGAAAAACCCGCACGCCGGAAGACCAAGGGUUCCUGUCCAACGUUAAUCGGGGCAGGGUGAGUCGACCCCUAAGGCGAGGCUGAAAAGCGUAGUCGAUGGGAAACGGGUUAAUAUUCCCGUACUGGUGGUAACUGCGAUGGGGGAACGGAGAAGGCUAGGUUGUCCGGGCGACGGUCGUCCCGGUUCAAGCAGGUAGGCAGAGUGAUUAGGCAAAUCCGGUCACUUAAUGCUGAGAUGUGAUGACGAACCACCAAGGUGGUGAAGCAAUUGAUGCCCCGCUUCCAGGAAAAGCCUCUAAGCUUCAGGUUACCAACAAUCGUACCCCAAACCGACACAGGUGGUCAGGUAGAGAAUACUCAGGCGCUUGAGAGAACUCGGGUGAAGGAACUAGGCAAAAUGGUGCCGUAACUUCGGGAGAAGGCACGCUGGCGGUAGGUAAAGUCCCUCGCGGACGGCGCUGAAGCCAGUCGAAGAUACCAGCUGGCUGCAACUGUUUAUUAAAAACACAGCACUGUGCAAACACGAAAGUGGACGUAUACGGUGUGACGCCUGCCCGGUGCUGGAAGGUUAAUUGAUGGGGUUAGCGUAAGCGAAGCUCCUGAUCGAAGCCCCAGUAAACGGCGGCCGUAACUAUAACGGUCCUAAGGUAGCGAAAUUCCUUGUCGGGUAAGUUCCGACCUGCACGAAUGGCGUAAUGAUGGCCAGGCUGUCUCCACCCGAGACUCAGUGAAAUUGAACUCGCUGUGAAGAUGCAGUGUACCCGCGGCAAGACGGAAAGACCCCGUGAACCUUUACUAUAGCUUGACACUGAACAUUGAGCCUUGAUGUGUAGGAUAGGUGGGAGGCUUUGAAGUGUGGACGCCAGUCUGCAUGGAGCCAACCUUGAAAUACCACCCUUUAACGUUUGAUGUUCUAACCUAGGCCCAUAAACUGGGUCGGGGACCGUGUCUGGUGGGUAGUUUGACUGGGGCGGUCUCCUCCUAAAGAGUAACGGAGGAGCACGAAGGUUGGCUAAGCAUGGUCGGACAUCAUGCGGUUAGUGCAAAGGCAUAAGCCAGCUUGACUGCGAGAGUGACGGCUCGAGCAGGUACGAAAGUAGGUCUUAGUGAUCCGGUGGUUCUGAAUGGAAGGGCCAUCGCUCAACGGAUAAAAGGUACUCCGGGGAUAACAGGCUGAUACCGCCCAAGAGUUCAUAUCGACGGCGGUGUUUGGCACCUCGAUGUCGGCUCAUCACAUCCUGGGGCUGAAGUAGGUCCCAAGGGUAUGGCUGUUCGCCAUUUAAAGUGGUACGCGAGCUGGGUUUAGAACGUCGUGAGACAGUUCGGUCCCUAUCUGCCGUGGGCGUUGGAAGAUUGAGAGGGGUUGCUCCUAGUACGAGAGGACCGGAGUGAACGCACCACUGGUGUUCGGGUUGUCAUGCCAAUGGCAUUGCCCGGUAGCUAAGUGCGGAAGAGAUAACCGCUGAAAGCAUCUAAGCGGGAAACUUGCCUCGAGAUGAGUCUUCCCUGUCGCUUUAAGCGACCUAAAGGAACGUUUAAGACUAAGACGUUGAUAGGCUGGGUGUGUAAGCGUAGCGAUACGUUGAGCUAACCAGUACUAAUGAACCGUGAGGCUUAACC